AUACUUACCUGGCAGGGGAGAUACCAUGAUCACGAAGGUGGUUUUCUCAGGGUGAGGCUCAUCCAUUGCACUGCGGGUGUGCUGACCCCUGCGAUUUCCCCAAAUGCGGGAAACUCGACUGCAUAAUUUGUGGUAGUGGGGGACUGCGUUCGCGCUCUCCCCUG
rnacentral:snRNA from 1 species